rnacentral:tRNA from 1 species
GCGGGUGUGGCGAAAUGGCAGACGCGCCAGAUUUAGGUUCUGGUGUCUUCGGACGUGGGGGUUCAAGUCCCUUCACCCGCACCA